GAUGAACGCUGGCGGCGUGCCUAAUACAUGCAAGUCGAGCGAACAGACGAGGAGCUUGCUCCUCUGACGUUAGCGGCGGACGGGUGAGUAACACGUGGAUAACCUACCUAUAAGACUGGGAUAACUUCGGGAAACCGGAGCUAAUACCGGAUAAUAUAUUGAACCGCAUGGUUCAAUAGUGAAAGACGGUUUUGCUGUCACUUAUAGAUGUAUCCGCGCCGCAUUAGCUAGUUGGUAAGGUAACGGCUUACCAAGGCGACGAUGCGUAGCCGACCUGAGAGGGUGAUCGGCCACACUGGAACUGAGACACGGUCCAGACUCCUACGGGAGGCAGCAGUAGGGAAUCUUCCGCAAUGGGCGAAAGCCUGACGGAGCAACGCCGCGUGAGUGAUGAAGGUCUUCGGAUCGUAAAACUCUGUUAUUAGGGAAGAACAAAUGUGCAAGUAACUAUGCACGUCUUGACGGUACCUAAUCAGAAAGCCACGGCUAACUACGUG
rnacentral:rRNA from 1 species